UAAAACUCCCAAAUAGCUGCUCUUCUCAACUCAGACAAUAGCACUGCCUUAUUUACUGUGUGUGUCUUCUGAAUCAGGAGCUCUGAAUAUGUUUGGGUUCAGACGUAUGGUCUGUCUUCUGGUCAAGUCCAUUUUACAUGAUUAUUAUUAUUAUUAUUUAUUAAUGAAUUAAUUAAUACCAACCAGUUGUUUAUUAUAUAGAAGUUCUCAAAUCAUCCAUUAUAACAUUUUAGUGCCUAGAUCAUCCUCAUCCUUAGGUCAAAUUCAGUUAUGGGAUUUUAAAGCUCACAUGUCCAUUGACUUCAAUUAAACUCACAGGAAACGACCCGACCAUAAAAACCCUCCGCCGCUUUUAUAUCAUCUGCUCUUUUUUGAAUGAAUUUAUUUUUUUAAUGAGUACCUGCAGCAAAACCCUGCGCUGUCGUCUCUCGCAGCUGUUUUAUGGAGGCGCGAUAUGAAAACCGCUCUAUAAAAAAAUCCCCGGUCACUUAGUUCAAACUCGUUUAAAAAAUGGAUUUAGAAUUUUAAGAUUUAAAGAGUUCGUUUUUAGCGUCGCUUUACAUGCAAAAGAAAUCACAAGAUAUCGUACUAUUGUCUGUCAUACUGUUCGUUUGAAGGGUGUCUACCCAUAGUAUAUUUCUUUGUAGCUAAUAUUUACAUUUACUCAGAGCCUUUUGUACACUAAUAACCAGGCUCACACGUCCAGAAAGUCUCGAAAACUAGGAAGCUUGGUAUCGGGUCAGACUACAAGUAAGUUAGGACAGAGAAUCUUCAUUAUUUGAAUGUGGCUUUUUUUAUUUUUAUUUUUUUGCUUUUAACAGUAUUUGAGUUUUAUGCAUUCAAUCCUGCAAUUUUCACGAGAAGGUAUAAAGCAUAUAUCCAGUAGCGUGUUGAAUAAUCCAUAGAAAUAUGCAACCCAUUAACACUGCUUGUCACAUGUACACAUCUAAUCUGCGCUUUUGGAGUUCAGAGAUUGCUGACAUUAGUAUAAACGUAUGCGCAGGCAGCUUCAGGGCCUGGAUUAAACUAGGUGAUGAACGAGACUAGGCUGAGUUUCAGCCUGUGUAGACAAGUCACAGUAUUAUGCGAGUGGUCCUGUAGUAUGUGUCCUACUCCCCGCUGUGUGUCCUCUCCUAUCCUGUUGGAUGUUUUCUCUGUGUCUCCUGCAUGAGUCUGCCGAACAGUAGCGUUUUCAUUUCAUUCACAGUUUAUUUCACCUUAACAAGCCACUCCACUCUGAUUUCCUGUUGCAUUUCCUGUAGGUCUCAUAACGAACGGGUGCAGUCGAGUACGUUUUAUGGAAUACUGAUCCGAGAUUUGAUUACAUUACACAUGUGACCCUUUUUUUUCAGGUUUGUUUACCAGAUAAGUAUGGCAGAUCAGUAUUCGAUAAACACAUCCUGGCUUUUAGGCUUGUACUGCAGUUAAGCAGAAACAACAGAUCAUAUCUGCUAAAUCAAUGCUCAAAAACCUGCAGUGACGAUACGUUUUUGUAAGUCUCUGGGUUGCCAGAUCAUUAAAGAUCUGCACAUACCUGUAUUUCACCCUCCGCACUGCACCCAAACGGACUAGCCGAUGUACCUCGCUAUCCCCUCUUCCUCAGACGCUCCCUGAGGUCGCUCUCUAAAGGAUUUUCCUCAGACAUGGCCACCUUUAUAUAACACCCAGAAUCACUGCUGGAUCGGCGUUCGAGAGCACCAAGACGGCAGUGGAGGGAUGAUAAAGAACACAGUAUUAUACUCAGAUGACCAAAUGACAGUAUUUAUAUAUACUGUAUAUAUAAUGUGUGACUGUGUGUGUAUCAGUAUUGCUGUGUAAAUAAACAUUAGCAUGAAUCUUUAACCACAAAAAUACUUCAAUUAUACAAAAUGCAUUACUUUUAUUUGCAUAAAACACUCAAAGAAGUAUUUAUUUGCAGAAAGCAGAGCUGGAUUUUUAAAGACUUUUUAAACUGUACGCACCAAAUGAAUGAAUUCGUAUCCUUCUGAUGUUUGAUAAUUUGGCUUUGGUCUGAGCUAAAAUAUGAAUAAAUCAAGUAUUGAACAAAGUUAUAAUGUAUCUGUUAUACUCGUGCUUUUUUUUUUUUUUUUUUAAACAGAUAAUAUAAUAUAUGGCCUUGGAAGGAAUUGCAUUGCAACUAAACUGCCAACUUCUCUGUGUGUGAUGUAUUUCUCAGUUACAAUAACCUGAUGGUUUGCUUUAAUUCUAAUGCAAUAUACCGUGAUUUUUAAGACUGAGUCAGUGUAACUGUUACAGUCCAGCUUGAUUUGCCUUGUGGUUUCACACACUGUACCGUUGUGCUUUCUCUGAGUGUUUACAUCAGCAACCAUGCGCCUUAUACAUCUGAUUGUUUUUUUGUCUGACAGUACAGUUUCAGGUCUAAGAUCUAUGAUGUAAAGUAUUUUAUGUUUCUUUGCAAAGCCACCACUAGAUGGCGCAAUGAGAUUUCAUUUAAAAGGAUAUUUCACGGUGAGGUUUGUUUUUCCUUUCAGUAAAAAAAAAAAAAAGGAAAAAAGAAAAGACUCCUAAUUGUUUUUAAGAUAGUAUGACAGUAUGAUGUCUUCUCAUCAACUUGGAAACACUGAAGUCAUUCACAGAUCCUCAGUGGAAUACUUCACUGCCAUUUCGAAUACCUCAGGUUUCAAUAAGCCAUGUACUGCAUGCUCGAAAGCAUAUAAUAUUCUCUCUCGAAUUUUCGAACAUUAUGGCACUUACUGCUAUGAGACUUUCAGGAUAUGACCGAACCACAACUAUGAUUGUACAACCAUUCAGAGAAAGCAUUUAAAAAUUCCUGAUUGUGCAAAGUUUUAAUUUAUUUGCAUUUUAAACCAGUGUUACUGUGACUUGUUCACUAAUGACAAAAAUACUGUUUACUUGGAUCAUUUAAGGUUAUUGAUGUAUGAUGGUUCACCUUUUUAUCUUGACUGUUAAUAAAUUUGGCGUUAAUAAACCAUUUUGUUAUGGUUCUAUA